AUAAAAUGUAUAUUAAGGCAAGACUCCAAAACGUGAUUGGUAUCAAAGAGUGAAGCACGUGGUCUUACAUGUGCUUCAACCACACCAUUGCUGGGUGGUCAAGGGAAGUGAUUGUCCCGCUCUACCGUGCGCUGGUGCGGCCUCACCUCGAGUACCAUGUGCAGUCUGAGGUACCACAGUAUAAGGCCAUAAAACUAUUAGAGAUCCUCCAAAGCAGGGUGACAAAGUUGGUGAAGGGUCUAGAGGGGAAGACACAUGAGGAGCAGCUGAAGUAACUGGGAUUGUUCAGCCCAGAGAAGAGGAAACUGAGGGGAGGCCUCAUGGCGGCCUGCAGCUCCCUCACGAGGGGAGUGGAGGGGCAGGCACUGAGCUCUGGGGACAGUGACAGGACCCGAGGGAACGGCAUGGAGCUGGGACAGGGGGGGGUCAGGCUGGAUUUUUGGGUGCUCCUGUGUGGAGUCAGGAGUUGAACUCCAUGAUCCUUGUGGAUCCCUUCCAACUCAGGAUACUCCAUGAUUAUAAAUAAAAAAACAUUCUUCCAGUUUCACCAUGGACACAGACUUCUGACAACUGCUUGGAUAGAAGUGUUGGAGCCUGAGAAAUUGGCAUGUUUCAGGCGUUUGGACAUGCUUACCCUGAGUUUGUCCUGACCUACCUAGAGGAACUAAAUGAAAGAGGAGGUGACCCAGACAGAAAACCGCAUUCACCAUGGGGCCUGAUCUGCAGCUCAUCGGGAGAUAGACAGCAGCUCAGCAGAAGAGAUACCACAAAAAAAUGUCAGCAACCCCAAUCAGAAACAACUUUCAGGACCUUUGGACGCCCAUUUAAUGCCUGCAGAUCCCCUAGGGGAGACUACACAGCUGACAGUGGCACUGGUGAGGAAACUAGAAGAGAAACAUCCUAAGGCCUCAGCUUAAAGUCCUAUCUAGGAUAAUGGCACGCUUGAACUGUUCGUUUCCCAUCAUCAUGCCGCCUGAAGCAGGAAGCCCACAUGGCAAGCUGUGAGGGAUUUCCUCUUCUUGAAGGUGGGCUUUUUAUGCAACUGGUCUGACCUAUGGUUUCUGUUGUUACGUGUUUCUGUGUGUGGGUGCAUAGGCAUUACAGCAUUUAAUCUACUUUUAAAAAUUCAGAUUGUCUGACUCCAUAGGCUUCUAUGGUGUCCUUAAUCAAAUUAAGG
rnacentral:lncRNA from 1 species